CAGCCGCGGUAAUACGUAGGGCGCAAGCGUUGUCCGGAAUUAUUGGGCGUAAAGAGCUCGUAGGUGGUCCGCCGCGUCCGCUGUGAAAAUCCAGGGCUUAACCCUGGACCUGCAGUGGAUACGGGCGAACUAGAGGUAGGUAGGGGAGAAUGGAAUUCCCGGUGUAGCGGUGAAAUGCGCAGAUAUCGGGAGGAACACCGGUGGCGAAGGCGGUUCUCUGGGCCUUACCUGACACUGAGGAGCGAAAGCGUGGGGAGCGAACAGGAUUAGAUACCCUGGUAGUCCACGCCGUAAACGUUGGGCGCUAGGUGUGGGGUCCUUCCACGGAUUCCGUGCCGCAGCUAACGCAUUAA
rnacentral:rRNA from 1 species